rnacentral:ribozyme from 13 species
GGAAGGAAGAAGAAAAAAAAGAAGAGGAAGAAGAGGAAUGCUAGUUGGAUUACAUUGUGAUUCUCUUAUGGUCAUUUUAAUUUCGGUUAGAUGUCUUUUUUUUGCCUUCUA